rnacentral:rRNA from 1 species
GAAAGUAGGAAAGGGCGCAUGGCGGAUGCCUUGGCUCUCGGAGGCGAUGAAGGACGUGAUAAGCUGCGAUAAGUCACGGGGAGGUGCAAAUAACCUUUGAUCCGUGAAUCUCCGAAUGGGACAACCCGAUAUCCUGAAGGGAUAUCACCUCAUCUAGUUGAGGGGCUAACGCAGGGAACUGAAACAUCUUAGUACCUGCAGGAAAAGAAAAUAACAAUGAUUCCCCCAGUAGUGGCGAGCGAACGGGGAAGAGCCCAAACCAUUCAUGUUACGGCAUGGAUGGGGUUGUAGGACCACGGCGUUGCAAGAGAUCUUGUGAGAAGAACAGCCUGGAAAGGCUGACCAGAGACGGUGACAGUCCGGUAUUCGAAGCAAGACGAAGCAUAGUGGUAUCCUGAGUAGCGCGGAACACGAGGAAUUCUGCGUGAAUCUGCCGGGACCAUCCGGUAAGGCUAAAUACUCCCGAGAGACCGAUAGUGGACCAGUACCGUGAGGGAAAGGUGAAAAGCACUUCGAACAGAAGAGUGAAAGAGUACCUGAAACCGUGCGCCUACAAGCGGUCGGAGCACGAAAGUGUGACGGCGUGCCUUUUGCAUAAUGAACCUACGAGUUACCGUAUCUGGCAAGGUUAAGGGUCACGAGACCUGCAGCCGAAGCGAAAGCGAGUCUGAAGAGGGCGUCGAGUCAGUUGCGGUAGACGCGAAACCAAGUGAUCUACCCUUGGCCAGGAUGAAGUCUGGGUAACACCAGAUGGAGGUCCGCACCAAUAAGCGUUGAAAAGCUUCUGGAUGAGCUGAGGGUAGGGGUGAAAGGCUAAUCAAACUUGGAGAUAGCUCGUACUCCCCGAAAUGCAUUUAGGUGCAGCCUCGCGGGUUACUGAUGUGAGGUAGAGCGACUGAUUGGAUGCGAGGGCUUCACCGCCUAUCAAGUCCUGACAAACUCCGAAUGCGCAUCAGUUUUACCGCGGGAGUGAGGGCAUGGGUGCUAAGGUCCGUGCCCGAGAGGAGAAGAAUCCGGACUAUCAGCUAAGGCCCCGAAAUGACAGCUAAGUUAAACUAACGAAGUCUGAUUGCUAAGACAGCUAGGAUGUUGGCUUGGAAGCAGCCAUUCAUUUAAAGAGUGCGUAACAGCUCACUAGUCGAGGAGUUUGGCGUGGAUAAUAAUCGGGCAUCAAGUAUCUUACCGAAGCUAUGGGAUCAUUAAUGAUCGGUAGGGGAGCAUUCCACUCCGCGUCGAAGGUGAAGCGUGAGCUUUGCUGGAGCGUGUGGAAAAGCAAAUGUAGGUAUAAGUAACGAUAAAGGGGGUGAGAAACCCCCUCGCCGAAAGACUAAGGUUUCCUGAUCAACGCUAAUCGGAUCAGGGUAAGUCGGGUCCUAAGGUUCAGCCGAACGGCGAGACCGAUGGCAGAAACGGUUAAUAUUCCGUUACUACCUUUGAGGGUGACGUGGGGACGCAGGAGUGACACCGCCGCCGGCUGACGGAAUAGCCGGUUAAAGAGUGUAGACGUUGAUUUCCGCAGGCAAAUCCACGGAAAGAGUCGAACUUGACAGUAUGGAACGUCCUUCGGGACAAUCCAAUAGUGCGGGUAAGCAGACUGCCUAGAAAAUCCGCUAAACAUAACUUCAGAGGUACCCGUACCGCAAACGGACACACGUAGUCGGGUUGAAUAUACUAAGGCGCUUGAGUGAAUCACGGUUAAGGAACUAGGCAAACUGACCCUGUAACUUCGGGAUAAAGGGUCCCUACCCAGAAAUGGGAGGGCGCAGAGAAUAGGUCCAGGCAACUGUUUAACAAAAACACAGGGCUGUGCCAAUAUGAAAGUAGACGUAUACAGCCUGACACCUGCCCGGUGCUGGAAGGUUAAGAGGAGAUGUCAUCGCAAGAGAAGCAUUGAAUUGAAGCCCCAGUAAACGGCGGCCGUAACUAUAACGGUCCUAAGGUAGCGAAAUUCCUUGUCGGGUAAGUUC